rnacentral:rRNA from 1 species
AUUGAACGCUGGCGGCAGGCCUAACACAUGCAAGUCGAACGGUAACAGGAAGCAGCUUGCUGCUUCGCUGACGAGUGGCGGACGGGUGAGUAAUGUCUGGGAAACUGCCUGAUGGAGGGGGAUAACUACUGGAAACGGUAGCUAAUACCGCAUAACGUCGCAAGACCAAAGAGGGGGACCUUCGGGCCUCUUGCCAUCGGAUGUGCCCAGAUGGGAUUAGCUAGUAGGUGGGGUAACGGCUCACCUAGGCGACGAUCCCUAGCUGGUCUGAGAGGAUGAGCAGCCACAAUGGAACUGAGACACGGUCCAGACUCCUACGGGAGGCAGCAGUGGGGAAUAUUGCACAAUGGGCGCAAGCCUGAUGCAGCCAUGCCGCGUGUAUGAAGAAGGCCUUCGGGUUGUAAAGUACUUUCAGCGGGGAGGAAGGCGAUAAGGUUAAUAACCUUGUCGAUUGACGUUACCCGCAGAAGAAGCACCGGCUAACUCCGUGCCAGCCGCCGCAGUAA